CAGGGGAGAAGGUGAGACCUGGCUGUAGGAGCUGAGAGAACAGGCCUGGUGGCUUUUCAGGGUGGUGGCUCUGCACUUCCCCAUCAGAGUCACCUGGAGGACGUGUUGCAGCAGAGCUGGGCCUUUCCCCUGGAGUUCCUGAUUCACUUGUUCUGAGAACCAGGAAUCUGCAUUUCUAACUUCCUGGGUGAUACCAAUAACUGCUGGACAGGACAACACCGAACUGCUGAUGGAGAGGUGGCAGUGGGUCGCAGCACACCUCAAUUUGGAUAAACUACAUCUCAAGUUCUCUGUAGCCUCCACGACCCUGUUCUACCUGCUGCCUUCCAGGAUGAGAACAUCCAGGAGUUCCUGUUGUGGCGCAAUGGUUAACGAAUCCGACUAGGAACCAUGAGGUUGCGG